ensembl:lncRNA
GCUCUGUGCCUCAGUUUCCUUAUGUGUGAAAUGGAGGUAAUUUGAUGCCCUCCAUAUCAAAGCAUUCUGACAUUUACUGAAGGAAAUAGCUGUACAGGCAAAGGAACGAUCGUUUCCUGGAAUACAAUGGGGUCUUUUAGAGUAUUUUCUCUGCACUGCCCUGAUAUUACAUAGACGCAAUCCUCCUCUGCAGCAAAUUGCCAUAGCCCAGUUGAACUCAACUGAGCUGUGUUGGUUCGUGCUGCAGAUAAUCUUUAAGGUCUUUUCCAACCUAAGCCAGUCUACGAUUCAAUGAAUAGAGAAGGAGAAAUAACUGGUAGAAAAGAUGCAUGGACACAAACUUUGUAUCUCCAGGGUUCACUGCCUCAGGUAAAACACCAUUUGCUGAGCUUUCCUGCUCCAGGUGAGCAGCCCUGAUGUCGGCCAAGCUCUACGUGCUCAUCAGCUGGCCUGAUGGCAGCCGUGUCAUCAGCAUGGAAAACAUCAAGGAGCCCCGCAAGCCCUUCCAUCUCUAUGCUGUGGGUGAGCAGGUGCUGGCCCGCUGCCCCGGCUUCAGUGGACUCUACUGGGGCAUUGUGGAAGGCAUAAGUGAGCAUAAAGAUGCUUUGGAGAAGAAGCUGCUGGAAGAUAGACAGCUCCUGGAGAAGUUAAAAGAUGAACCAGCUGUCCACAGCAUGAUCCCACCCCAGCCAAAAAAAUCCAGGAAAACCUUCCCAAAAUGGACCGCAGUGAAUGCAUGCAGGAAAUACCACACUGACAGGACUUACUCUGGGAAGCCACUGCUGCAGGCAGCUGAGCCCAGCCUGCCCUGCAGUGCUGGCAGCCCCUCCAUCACCAAGGAGAGAUGUACCCUGGGGCCAUCCCAUCCUACCAGCACCUUCACCCCCCCAGCCACUUUUGUAAGCCUGGCUGUGCCAGGGACUUCCCAGGGUGAGGAGGACAGAGCUGACACCACUACCAAAGAUUACGUUGCCCUGGCAAUGAAGAGGAAGUCAGAUGGCAUCUUGUCCCAAUGCCAGCAACACAUCUGUCUGAACAGCUGUGAAGACGGAAAGCUGGACACUUUGCAGGAGACGGAUGGCUUUGAGAGAGUGCAGAAAAAAUUUGCUCCCGGUGAAAUAGAAAGAGAGAAGAUAGAGCAGCUGGAAAGGAUGGUCUUGGACCUCCAACAGGACGUCCUCUCUCUAAAGAAGAAGGUACAGAGGAUGGAAUCCCUGUCCUUCCAGGAGGAGCCCCACCGGCAGCCCUGCGAGGUGGUAGAGCUCUUCAAUGGCUACACCAAAGAACAGCUCCGAGAAGCAAUCCGCUUUGACCAGAAGAUCAGCACUGCCUGCAAGACGCUGCUCUACAAGCUCUUCACAUCCGACUACAUCCAGAGCCACUCCAUCACCGGGCGCAGAGGCAACACUUUCCGAGAGGCGAAGCCCAUGAUGGAUGAGCGCUGCAUCAAAAUCAUCAGGGUGCUGCUGAAACAGAAGUUUGGGGACCACCUCAGCGACACGGUGAUCACUGAGAAGAUCCAAAACGUGCAGAAAGCUCUGAGGCAGAAGUUUAAGACGGAAUGUCUCUGACGUGGGGGUGAUUCGGUGUCUCUGGUCCUACUCUUCUCAUUGAUGCGCCUGAGCAUCCCUCCCAGAAAUAUCGUGUGUGUGUUGCUGCUGCUUGGCUGAUUGCUCCUGAGGCACUGAAGAUGAUACAAACCUUCCACAGUCGUCUACCUGCAUUAAUCAGAGGGAAGUUUGCUCAGCUUCACUCCAGGUUUGCACAUCUGCCAGCACUUUACCAGUUCCUUUACCACUCCAGUCUGUGUGCCAUUCUCAACUCGUGGAUGGCUGGGUGUUGAUCCCUGCAUCUUCUUGAUGGACACAUUCAAAAGAUGGAAAUUUACCAUUGGAUCCAAGCGUGGGUUGGUGAGCCAGCCUUGUUCUACCUUGCAGUGGCCAGGGAGGGAGAUUGGUGAUGGCAGAGGAGCUGUAGCCCCAAGGAAGCAGCAGCUUCAUUCACACAGGGUCUUGGUAGCACCCAACGUGACUUCUCCCUGCAUGGCACAGCAGUCCUCUCAUCCUGUGGACAGCACCUGCUCCCUUUUUGAAUGCAUACUGCAGCUUCUCGUGGUAACAGAAGGGCAGGCUCAUUAACACAAUGCCAUAAAACCUUCAGAGAAGGAUUAUUUCUUUUUUUUUUUUUUUUUUUUUUUUCCCUCUGCUUUAAUGUGGCUGUCUGGAAGAAGCGUCUGCACUAACAAAGUCUGCUGAACAAGACAAGGUCUCUUAUGGAAGUUACACUGCAUUGGUUUUCCUUUUAAAACUAGAUUAUCUCCAUGGAGAAAUGCAUGUUUCUGUGAAUGGGGCAAGCAAUGGGGGCAAAAACUGGCCAACUGCAGGUACACCUUUCCUUCAAAGAUCAGACACAUCGUGAUGCAGCCAUUAUAAUUUAAGUACAGUGUUUCUAUCCUAAGAAAUGCUGGGUAGAAUCAGCUGUUUGGUUUUUUUUCUGUGUGAGAGGCUGUGAGAAAGGACUAGGAAAAAAUCAUUAUUUUUUUUCCUGAAUAGAUUAGAGUUGGGGGCUGGCUGCAUUAAAAGUGUUUUUAACAUUAAAAGAGUAACAGUCUGGCACUAAUCCACCUGACAGAAAUGCUGCAAAUUACCAAACGUUUCCUUUGAAAGAAGCUUCUCAGACAUGAAUUAUUUCUUAAUUUUGAAAUUAUUCAGACAAGGAAAUGUCAGUUGCUUUGAGUUAAAAUGUUUGGUUUAAUUUAUGUAUUUUUCUCUGUUUCCAGUGUUUAAUAUCUUCAUGGCCACACAAGAGAUAAUAGUGCAAAAUAAAUGUACAGAAAAUAGGGAGAAAAAAAAAAAA